rnacentral:sRNA from 1 species
GCUGCGGAAACGCGGCCGGUCCGGUUCCGCGGCCCAGGCAGCGGGACUCUGCAAGCAAUGGCUGCAGCGCGCCUGGCAAGAGCGGCGCCUGCUGCUGCGGGAGCCGCGCUACACGCUGCUGGUGGCCGCCUGCCUCUGCCUGGCGGAGGUGGGCAUCACCUUCUGGGUCAUUCACAGGGUGGCAUACACAGAGAUUGACUGGAAGGCCUACAUGGCCGAGGUAGAAGGCGUCAUCAAUGGUACCUAUGACUAUACCCAACUGCGGGGUGACACCGGACCACUUGUGUACCCAGCUGGUUUCGUGUACAUCUUUACGGGGUUGUACUAUGCCACCAGCCGAGGCACUGACAUCCGCAUGGCCCAGAACAUCUUUGCUGUGCUCUACCUGGCUACCUUGCUGCUUGUCUUCUUGAUCUAUCACCAGACCUGCAAGGUACCUCCCUUCGUCUUUUUCUUCAUGUGCUGCGCCUCUUACCGUGUCCACUCCAUCUUUGUGCUGCGGCUCUUCAAUGACCCAGUGGCCAUGGUGCUGCUCUUCCUCAGUAUCAACCUCCUGCUGGCCCAGCGCUGGGGCUGGGGCUGCUGCUUUUUCAGGUCAACACCUCUUCCUUCUGGCCCCCUCUCGUUUUCUGCAUUUCCAUCUCUUCCCAUUUUCCUGCAGCAGAGGGAGUAAAGGAGUAGCCAAGACAGCAUGGGUCACUCAGGGCUCCACAAAGCGAGUCCA